rnacentral:rRNA from 1 species
UACGUAGGGUGCAAGCGUUGUCCGGAAUUAUUGGGCGUAAAGAGCUCGUAGGCGGUUUGUCGCGUCGAAUGUGAAAACCCGGGGCUCAACCCCGGGCCUGCAUUCGAUACGGGCAGACUAGAGUUCGGUAGGGGAGUCUGGAAUUCCUGGUGUAGCGGUGAAAUGCGCAGAUAUCAGGAGGAACACCGGUGGCGAAGGCGGGUCUCUGGGCCGAAACUGACGCUGAGGAGCGAAAGCGUGGGGAGCAAACAGG